GUGAUGAUUCGGUUCUAUUCUGAAGAUGAUGUCUGCCGAGUUCGCUGA
rnacentral:snoRNA from 1 species